rnacentral:rRNA from 1 species
UACGUAGGGGGCAAGCGUUGUCCGGAUUUACUGGGCGUAAAGGCGCGCGUAGGCGGAACGUUAAGUCCGGUCUGAAAAGCCCCCGGCUCAACCGGGGACGGGUGGAGCUGGAAACUGGCGUUCUUGAGGGCGAGAGAGGAGGGUGGAAUUCCUGGUGUGCGGUGAAAUGCGUAGAGAUCAGGAGGAACACCCGUGGCGAAGGCGGCCCUCUGGCUCGACCCUGACGCUGAGGCGCGAAAGCGUGGGGAGCGAACGGG